rnacentral:rRNA from 1 species
CCUACGGGAGGCAGCAGUGGGGGAUAUUGCACAAUGGGGGGAACCCUGAUGCAGCGACGCCGCGUGGGUGAAGGAGCGUUUCGGCGCGUAAAGCCCUAUCGGCAGGGAAGAAGGAGGACGGUACCUGACGAAGAAGCACCGGCUAACUACGUGCCAGCAGCCGCGGUAAGACGGAGGGGGCAAGCGUUAUCCGGAUUUACGGGGUGUAAAGGGGGGGCAGACGGCAGCGGAAGCCAGGUGUGAAAGCCCGGGGCCCAACCCCGGGACUGCUCUUGGAACUGCGCGGCUGGAGUGCAGGAGGGGCAGGCGGAAUUCCUGGUGUAGCGGUGAAAUGCGUAGAUAUCAGGAG